rnacentral:lncRNA from 1 species
CUCACUUCACAAGAGAAGGAGUUCAUAAAUACUUUAUAAAUAGCGCUCGCUCACUUAACUCAUAGGAGAUCUCAAUUCACACAAUAUAGUCAAAGUUCCCCAGUCAAUCAAGGCUCAAGCAACAAGAACUCUAUGAACACCGAUGUGUCGGCAAAAGAGUACUCACUCUGUUUCGUCACUCUCUUUUAGUGAUAAGAUUCCCAAAUGUCACUAGAGAACUUACUAUAUCUAAAUCAGACCGUUGAUCAUGGCAUUUCAAUUGGUGGAAAAUCAUUGAGGGCGUCCAAGAAGGUAUGAAAUAAAGAAACUCACCAACUGGCCUUGGCUCAGUUGGAUUUUUCUUGACGUGCUUGUGGAGCUGGACCGGGACAAGUCAAUGUUUGUAGAGUUUAUUUUCACAGAAUAAUAGAGUAAGUUGUUGAUUUGGUUCACUAAUUGAUCUGGUUUUAUGCUAGGGUCACGACAUAAGUUGAAGUGGUACUUUUUUUUUGUUGUUGAAUAAACAUCAUAUCAAAAC